rnacentral:rRNA from 1 species
AAUCUUCUGCAAUGGACGAAAGUCUGACGGAGCAACGCCGCGCGAGUGAUGAAGGUUUUCGGAUCGUAAAAUUCUGUUGUUAGGGAAGAACAAGUAACCGAGUCACGGCCGGUACCCUGACGGUACCUGACGAGAAAGCCACGGCAAACUAUGUGCCCGAAGCCUCGGUAAUACGUAGGUGGCAAGCGUUGUCCGGAUUUAUUGGGCGUAAAGCGCGCGCAGGCGGUCUUUUAAGUCUGAUGUGAAAUCUUACAGCUUAACUGUAAGCGGUCAUUGGAAACUGGGAGACUUGAGUGCAGAAGAGGAGAGUGGAAUUCCAUGUGUAGCGGUGAAAUGCGUAGAGAUAUGGAGGAACACCAGCGGCGAAGGCGGCUUUCUGGUCUGUAACUGACGCUGAGGCGCGAAAGCGUGGGGAGCAAACA